rnacentral:tRNA from 1 species
GGCCCCAUAGUCUAGCGGUCUAGGACGUCGGCCUCUCACGCCGAAAACAAGGGUUCAAGUCCCUUUGGGGUCACCA